GACGAACGCUGGCGGCGUGCUUAACACAUGCAAGUCGAACGAAGAGCGAUGGAAGCUUGCUUCUAUCAAUCUUAGUGGCGAACGGGUGAGUAACGCGUAAUCAACCUGCCCUUCAGAGGGGGACAACAGUUGGAAACGACUGCUAAUACCGCAUACGAUCUAACCUCGGCAUCGAGGAUGGAUGAAAGGUGGCCUCUAUUUAUAAGCUAUCACUGAAGGAGGGGAUUGCGUCUGAUUAGCUAGUUGGAGGGGUAACGGCCCACCAAGGCGAUGAUCAGUAGCCGGUCUGAGAGGAUGAACGGCCACAUUGGGACUGAGACACGGCCCAGACUCCUACGGGAGGCAGCAGUGGGGAAUCUUCCUUAAUGGACGAAAGUCUGAUGGAGCAACGCCGCGUGAGUGAUGACGGCCUUCGGGUUGUAAAGCUCUGUUAAUCGGGACGAAAGGCCUUCUUGCGAAUAGUUAGAAGGAUUGACGGUACCGGAAUAGAAAGCCACGGCUAACUACGUG
rnacentral:rRNA from 1 species